AGACUGUAGACUGAAAUACUUUACCGGUGGUAUUUCAGACAGCUGGUUUCCAUCCAGCCACAGGUCUUUUAGACUGACAAGACAGCCUAU